rnacentral:misc_RNA from 1 species
GUUGAAGUAUGCAGUGGUUGCAGGAAGCCAUUCAACAAACAAAGGCAAUCAGGUUUGGCAGCCCCACAAAGAUAGAAAAAUCAGUUCUACAAGAUUAGUGGACUGCAAGGUCUGGUCAUUUUCUUUUUCUUUUUCCUGCAAUAGGAAAUGCAUAUCUUCUUUUUCCCUUUCCUUUAAUGGGGUUGGUAUUAGUACUUGUUUGUUCAAUUUAUUGGGAGUUUUACAUAUUUAUUCAGAAAUAAGAACUUCUGAGUUAGCAUUAUCUAAGGUGUAAAAAGAAGUCAAUACAUUAACUCAGCCUGAUUCCCAGCUAAAUCUAUAACAUUAUUAUUCAUCAGUUGAAGAUGGAGAAAACUCUUCAAACUGUCUGUUUCUGAAAUGGCCUGAUUCUGAACCUCUGCCAAGUUCACCUCAACUGCACUCUAUGCAAUGCCAAAUAAGCAACCAGUCGAUAAGCCAACAACAUCAGAGCCAUAAUGCACACAUCAGCCCACAAAUGAUUCAGACCCAUUGACUUAACAGCAGGAAAAUCUCCCACCCUGCAUAAAACUCCCUUAGAGCACUCAUAAUAAUCAUCCUCACUAUACUGGACACCAAGAAGUAGUUUGUAGCAGUAGUAGCUAUAGCUUAAAUACUUUAGCCAUACUAUGAAGGAAGGGAUCUGUUGAACGUAGUAUCCUCCUGCAAUGAGGAAAACCAGAGUUGUGACUGAAGCUAAUGUAGUAGCUUGCUUUAUGUCCAUGAGAAUAGCACCAAUAGCUAAUCCCAAGCUUUGUGAGACAAGGACAUUGUACAGAACCACUAGUAGGGAAAGGAUGAAAGUUAUGGGAUCAGGUUUAAGCCCCCCCAUCCAGUAGAUUAUGAAGACAAAUGCAGUUGGGAGUGCAAGCUCCAAUGGCAGGUCUCCAAAUGUUCUGGCUAGGAAGUAGGAUGAAAGGUGAUACAUUCCAGAUGCUCUUUCCUUGAUCAACAUCCUUCUUUCUUGAGGAAAUGUAAAAACUGCAUUGUAAAGUGGGUAAAACCCCCAGAACACUGAGAAGAAGAACAGCAGUGCAAUCUGCAUUUAGAAAUGCAAAUAGUUUUUAGUUCACCUAAUAAAAAUUGCUGUUACAGUACUUAUAUUCUUGUUUAUCUUGGAGGUACAUAUCUCAGGUUUAGAUUUUUUUACUUAGAUUGGAAAGUGAAUUGUAUGAGAAAUAAAGUGCAGAGCAAUUUGACCUGGCAACGUAAAAAAUGUAAUUUUGGAACCUUAGCUACUUUAAUAGCAGUUUCCUAUAAUCAACUUAAGCAAUAAGGAAAAUGACUUAGAAGGCAUAAAUGCAUCGUGCGCACUAGAUGUUAACCAUAUGAUUAAGAAUUUAACCAGUAGAAUUUGUCAUGAAGUGAAUGAAAAUUUGUGGAGACUGUGUGCUUUUGUUUUGUGGAUCAUAAUCCAAGAAAGAAACUAAAAGAGUUCGUACGCGAUCUUGGAUGUGAGAAGAUGGGGUAUGCCACCAAAGGAGUCCACCAAGUACAGCGACACUGAUGACUUGGAAAAUUCUUAACCUGUUGAAUGAUUCAUAUCUCCUCUCCUUUAGUCCCCUUUGAAAUAGCACCUUAAACUGGUGCCACCAGCUCGUGCACCAUUGCUCUGACAUUGUAUCAAUUCUUGUGGAGGCUUCUUUUGUAUAAUUGUAGCUAUUGAUGUCCAAACUGCAAAGCUCAGCUUUGAGUCUUGUGGAAAUGUUCUUCUCAUAUCCAGAAAGGAGAGCCUCCUUUACCGACUUCUGUUCUAGUUCCAUGUUCUCUCCUUGUUCAGUCCCAUGUUUAGAAUCAGGGGCAAUGCCAUUGGCAAGAUCAAGUAAGAGAUCAGCUGGAUUGAUGGUCAUGGAUGUAGAGAAACCAACUGAAGAAAAAUAUUCCAAGGCUGAAGAUGCAGGACCAUAAUAGAUGGGGCUGCCCUCUGAGAGCAGCACAACCUUAUCAAACAUAUGGUAAAGUCGACUUGAGGGCUGGUGAAUGGUAGUGACAACAGUUCGUCCUCCACUAGCAAGCCUUUUGAUGGUAGUAAUAAUCCUUUGAGCUGUGGUUGAGUCCAAACCUGAUGUAGGUUCAUCUAGUAGCAGCAAGCUUGGAUUAAUUAACAUUUCUUGACCAAUACUAACCCUCUUCUUCUCGCCUCCUGAUAUUCCUCUGAAGAGUGGGCCUCCUAUCAUGCUAUUCUGGCACCGAGUCAAGCCUAGUUCAGUUAUAACUCGCUCUACAUGCUGUAAUUUCUCCUCUUGGGUUAAGGUUUUGGGAAGUCUUAACAGGGCAGUGAAGAGUAGAGUUUCUUUGACAGUGAGGUGAGGGUAUAACACAUCAUCCUGAGCAACGAAUCCCGUGCGUCGCUUUAUGGAACCUGAAAAAGGCUGGCCAUUGUAUGUGAUCUUUCCAGACAACUUACCAUUUAGACGGCCUCCUAGAGCAGUAAGGAGGGUGGUUUUGCCACUGCCUGAGGGACCAAGCAUUGCUAGGAUCUCACCAGGGCAAACCAUACCAGUUAUGCCAUUCAAUAUUGUCUUUUCUCGACUGCCCCAUGUACCACUGCAGCAAAGUCCUUGCUGCUCCAGUUUAACUUUGUAGACUACCUCCUCAAACUUCAAAGUAAUAGGAUAUCUGGAGAUUUGGAGGACAGAUUGUUGAUUGGCUUGUAUGGGGUGGGCAAGAACAACCCCAUCAUAAGCUUCAGACAUCUCUCUGGCAGGUUUUACGUCCACUGGUGCAGUUUUUUGGCACUAUGCAGAUGAAGGGUGUAGUACGUUUUUGGUAGUGGUAGUGGUGGUGGAGGCAGUGGGUGGAUGUGUGUGAUUAGGGGGAAGGGAGAAGUUAAGGAGUUUGUUUUAACUUGACCUCUCAA